UUCUGUUAUAUCAGUAUAAAUUGAUAACUCAGUUGGAGACUAUGUGGUUACAUCAUCAUAAACCUGAGGCUGACUGGCAGUUUCAGAGUAACAAGAGGAUAAAGGAUGCUGAUCUUUCUCCACACAAUGACACCUUUAAGGGCCUGAGAGAAAGUUACAGUCAAAACCACAUGCAUUCAGACUGCAGCGCUGUGUCCGUGAACUUCCAGAGUUUGCAUUAAAAAGUGACAGAACAUCAGAGUGCCAGAAGCUCCUCAUAUUGUGGCCCUGACGGUUUGAGUGUGUCAGUGAUGAAGGCAAAUCCCAGCUGAUGCCAACAAGAAUGCCACUUGAGAAGAGCAAACUGUUCUUCUGGAUAGAACUGGAGACUCCAACAGUGCCAUUCCUGAGCUCCAGGAUGGCACAUCAAGAAAAGAACAGCAGUGCAGGCACAGUGCUGGAUUCCAGCAGCCCUGAGAGCUCGGGGUGGAGAGAGGAAGGACAAGGGGACAGUCUGGCCAUUGUCAGCAGACAUCCACAAACUCUGCUGAGAUUUGCUCUGGAGAAAGUGUUCUGUGUGGGCACGGCUUAGGUGCUCAGAGUGACCUGAGCUCUUCAGGAGGCCACCAAGGGAGUGAAGGCCAAAUCAGUGGCCACUUUUAGCAGGGCCACUUUGCAGUGCCGGAUGGGCACCUGAACCUGUUGCACCCACAGGGUACCUGUCUGUCUCUGUGCAGGUCUUGCCUCACUUUCCUCCUCAAAUUAAAGCCACUCUGGUUAUCUAUCCCUGCAUGGGGCCUCCAUCAGUCUCUUCCUGAGCUGCUCCUUCCAUGGUCAGCCUGUUCGUGGCCCAUAGCACUGCCAGGCCAGCACGUUUAUACACACACAUCUUGAGAUGUGCUGCUGCUCAAACAAGGUUAGCCAGAGUCUCAUUACUAAGAUUUACACUGGCAGUUACUGAGAUGCCCAUCCAAUCCUAUAACACAUAAAUUUAUGGGCAUCACAGCGAAUUUUUUAUUGUUAG